rnacentral:rRNA from 1 species
GUUUGAUCAUGGCUCAGAUUGAACGCUGGCGGCAUGCUUUACACAUGCAAGUCGAACGGGGUGGCGGGGCAACUCGUCAUUCAGUGGCGAACGGGUGAGUAAUGCAUCGGAACGUGUCCCGUAGUGGGGGAUAACGCCGCGAAAGCGGCGCUAAUACCGCAUACGCUCUGAGGAGGAAAGCAGGGGACCUGCAAGGGCCUUGUGCUAGGGGAGCGGCCGAUGUCCGAUUAGCUAGUUGGUGGGGUAACGGCCUACCAAGGCUGCGAUCGGUAGCUGGUCUGAGAGGAUGAUCAGCCACACUGGGACUGAGACACGGCCCAGACUCCUACGGGAGGCAGCAGUGGGGAAUUUUGGACAAUGGGGGCAACCCUGAUCCAGCCAUGCCGCGUGCGGGAAGAAGGCCUUCGGGUUGUAAACCGCUUUUAGCCGGGAAGAAAAGGCGCGGGCUAAUACCCCGUGUUUUUGACGGUACCGGCGGAAUAAGCACCGGCUAACUACGUGCCAGCAGCCGCGGUAAUAA